rnacentral:rRNA from 1 species
GGAUCCAGACUUUGAUCAUGGCUCAGGACGAACGCUGGCGGCGCGCCUAACACAUGCAAGUCGAACGAGCGAGAGAGAGCUUGCUUUCUCGAGCGAGUGGCGAACGGGUGAGUAACGCGUGAGGAACCUGCCUCAAAGAGGGGGACAACAGUUGGAAACGACUGCUAAUACCGCAUAAGCCCACGGUGCCGCAUGGCACAGAGGGAAAAGGAGCAAUCCGCUUUGAGAUGGCCUCGCGUCCGAUUAGCUAGUUGGUGAGGUAAUGGCCCACCAAGGCAACGAUCGGUAGCCGGACUGAGAGGUUGAACGGCCACAUUGGGACUGAGACACGGCCCAGACUCCUACGGGAGGCAGCAGUGGGGAAUAUUGCACAAUGGGGGAAACCCUGAUGCAGCGACGCCGCGUGGAGGAAGAAGGUCCUCGGAUUGUAAACUCCUGUUGUUGGGGAAGAUAAUGACGGUACCCAACAAGGAAGUGACGGCUAACUACGUGCCAGCAGCCGCGGUAAAACGUAGGUCACAAGCGUUGUCCGGAAUUACUGGGUGUAAAGGGAGCGCAGGCGGGAAGACAAGUUGGAAGUGAAAUCUAUGGGCUCAACCCAUAAACUGCUUUCAAAACUGUUUUUCUUGAGUAGUGCAGAGGUAGGCGGAAUUCCCGGUGCAGCGGUGGAAUGCGUAGAUAUCGGGAGGAACACCAGUGGCGAAGGCGGCCUACUGGGCACCAACUGACGCUGAGGCUCGAAAGUGUGGGUAGCAAACAGGAUUAGAUACCCUGGUAGUCCACACCGUAAACGAUGAUUACUAGGUGUUGGAGGAUUGACCCCUUCAGUGCCGCAGUUAACACAAUAAGUAAUCCACCUGGGGAGUACGACCGCAAGGUUGCAACUCAAAUGAAUUGACGG